rnacentral:rRNA from 1 species
UACGUAGGGUCCGAGCGUUGUCCGGAAUUACUGGGCGUAAAGAGCUCGUAGGUGGUUUGUCGCGUUGUUCGUGAAAACUCACAGCUUAACUGUGGGCGUGCGGGCGAUACGGGCAGACUAGAGUACUGCAGGGGAGACUGGAAUUCCUGGUGUAGCGGUGGAAUGCGCAGAUAUCAGGAGGAACACCGGUGGCGAAAGCGGCUCUCUGGAACGGUACUGACGCUGAGACGCGAAAGCGUGGGGAGCGAACAGG